AUUGAACGCUGGCGGCAUGCUUUACACAUGCAAGUCGAGCGGCAGCGCGGGGGCAACCCUGGCGGCGAGCGGCGAACGGGUGAGUAAUGCAUCGGAACGUACCCUGGAGUGGGGGAUAACGCCGCGAAAGCGGCGCUAAUACCGCAUAUGCUCUGAGGAGGAAAGUGGGGGACCGCAAGGCCUCACGCUCUGGGAGCGGCCGAUGUCCGAUUAGCUAGUUGGUGAGGUAAAGGCUUACCAAGGCGACGAUCGGUAGCUGGUCUGAGAGGAUGAUCAGCCACACUGGGACUGAGACACGGCCCAGACUCCUACGGGAGGCAGCAGUGGGGAAUUUUGGGACAAUGGGGGCAACCCUGAUCCAGCCAUGCCGCGUGAGUGAAGAAGGCC
rnacentral:rRNA from 1 species